rnacentral:rRNA from 1 species
CGAACGCUGGCGGUGUGCUUAACACAUGCAAGUCGAACGGUAAGGCCCUUUCGGGGGUACACGAGUGGCGAACGGGUGAGUAACACGUGAGUAACCUGCCCUCAUCUCUGGGAUAACAGUCGGAAACGGUUGCUAAUACUGGAUAUGAGCCUGCAAGGCAUCUUGUGGGUUGGAAAGAUUUUUUGGUUGGGGAUGGACUCGCGGCCUAUCAGCUUGUUGGUGAGGUAGUGGCUCACCAAGGCUUCGACGGGUAGCCGGCCUGAGAGGGCGACCGGCCACAUUGGGACUGAGAUACGGCCCAAACUCCUACGGGAGGCAGCAGUGGGGAAUAUUGCACAAUGGACGGAAGUCUGAUGCAGCAACGCCGCGUGCGGGAUGACGGCCUUCGGGUUGUAAACCGCUUUCAAUUGUGACGAAGCUUUUUGUGACGGUAGCAGUAGAAGAAGCACCGGCUAACUACGUG